GGUAAAGUAAUGAUUCAAAAUUUAUCUGUUAUCCCCCUCUAGAUUUCCUAAAUAAAUUGACAAUCAAAGAAGAUAUGAACUGAGGUUGUCAUUUUCAUGUUACACAAACCACACAUACAAGUCAUAUAACAACCUUUUUUUAUUAGAUUGUCAUCACAUGGGAUUUUGUUAUGCAACAACCUCCACGUAACGAAGGAAGUCGAAGAAUUAUGCAACAACCUCCACACAAUGAUUUGUUAUGCAACAACCUCCACAUAAUGAAGGAAGUCGAAGAAGGGAUGAAUAUCUGUCAAAUUAACCUUUCCCACUCAAUAUUGUCAUGAAUAUCCCCACAUACUUAAGCUGAAGGUUCCCCUGCAAAACAUGGAUCUGAUUGAUAGGAGUGGAUGUCUCUAGAUAAUUUUGCAUUAUAAAGUUUGGAAUGAUCCAUCUAUUUUUGCUAAUAAGAUUUUCUACCUUUAUAAACAACCAUUUCCUAAAUUUACAAAGGAUUUUCAAAAUCUCACUAAGCGGGUCUCCCAACCAUUUGUCAUUCAGAAGUUGAUGUUACCCCUUUUCCUAUGAUCCAUAUAUUUUCAUUCAUUAAUCAAUUCAAGUGAUGAGAUAUCCCUUGCUAGAUAGAUUACUUAAACAAGAAUAUCCAUUAUGAGUAUAUCUAACUCUCUAACACUAUUUUCUAAAUUUCUAAAAAUCCUAGGUAAAAGAGCCUUCUUGUUUCCUUGAUAGAAAAUCAUAGUAUUCUCGGUAUAAAGUGCAUGAAUCGGGAGAUUCGUGCCCAUCGUUGCACGCAAGGGUUUAAUAAGCCAUUAGUUAGCCUUUUUUGGUGAAAUCAAGAUUGAUGACAUCUUUAGCAAUGCAAAAGUGUAACGGAGAUAAUGGAUCCCUUUGUCUCACCCUGCCGUUAAAAUAAUUCAAUUGACUAAAAUGGAAAGCCUCGCCAAAUCCGGAAUUUCUCUUAUCAAACCUUGAAACAUGGAGUUGUACCCGAAAACAUCUAGAACCUCAAGGAUAAAAUUCUAAUCCAAAGUAUGAAACACUUUCUUAAUAUUAAUAUUCAAGAUAACAUUGCCUCCCUUAAUUUUCUUGUCCAACACUAUAACUGCUUUCAAGGCCAAGAUCACACGAUCCUCGAUAUGUCGUCCAAGAUUAACCCCGUUGAUUAGGAGAUACAAUUCUUGCAGCUAGAAAAACCUAGUCUAUCUGCCAAAAUUUUGGUGAUAAGCUUGAAGAUGAAGUUAGCCAAAGAAAUAGGUCAGAAAUCUAACACAUUUUCCGCUCCCUUCACCUUCAGAAUCAAGAUAAUAUUGUUUGCAUUUAGGGCUCUUCUAUUUUCCCGUUAAUAAAGAAGAAUUGCACCGCUAGAGUAACAUCUGAACCCAUCAUACUCUAGUAAGUCCGGUGGAAAGGCUCUUCAGAACUGAAAGUAUGCUCCUUAGAGUUGUGCAGAGGCUUGGAAUAUUGGUUCUUGGCUUGAUUAUUCAUUUGAGUUAUGCUCCUUAGAAUUAUGAUUGUUAUGCUCCUGAGAAUUUCCUAGUGCCAAAAGUAGACUUCAUUGUGAUUUAAAGCUCUUCAGAACUGAAAGUAUGCUGCUCCAGCUUAUGAUUUUGCGAGUGACUAUGAGAGUGAGUGUUAAGCUCCUUAGAACUAUGAACUUGCUGCAUCAAAUUGUUAUUCAAACAUUCUGAAUCUGAUUUGUGGUGGUCUUCUAACUUGCUAUGACUGAACUGCUCUGUAUUUCUGUUCGUAUAAUUUCUUGUUUUUUUUUUUUUGUUUGCUUCCUCCUGUAAUUCAUUUCUCUGCAUUUUUGUAAAGGAUUGUUCUAAUUUCUCAA